rnacentral:rRNA from 1 species
CAAUAGCGUAUAUUAAAGUUGUUGCGGUUAAAAAGCUCGUAGUUGGAGUUCUGCCAGGUGCCGCCUGUCCGCCCCAGUGGUGAGUACGUGGCGCGCAUUUGGCCCUUUCAAGGGGAGCGUAUCUGCACUUUAUUGUGUGGUGCGGGAUCCUUGACUUUUACUUUGAGGAAAUAGGAGUGUUCCAAGCAGGCUCUCGUCGUGCACAGCUCAGCAUGGAAUAAUAGCAUUGGACCUCGAUUCUAAGCUGUUGGUUGCCAGAAGCGAGGUAAUGAUGAAGAGGGAUAGUUGGGGGCAUUCGUAUUUAACUGUCAGAGGUGAAAUUCUUGGAUUUGUUGAAGACGGACUACUGCGAAAGCAUCUGCCAUGGAUGUUUUCAUUGA